ensembl:lncRNA
CUGCGUUGAGUUUUCUUACCCUUUAGCUCCAGAUUGAAGUCUCCACCGCAAACAGCUCCUCCAGAGAGCCAUCACCUCGAUUUGUUCAAAAUGCCCUGCUGAUGGGCCUUUCAGCUCCCAUCAUUCACAUCAAAUUAACACUAACCUUGAGAAGGGAUCACUGAAAACACACAUUAAUUUACUUAAAGGGAUUUUGCAUUACACACACAUCAAGAAGAUACGGAGAAGCAAUGAAAUGCAUUUAUAAAACCAAGAGCUAUGUGGCUGAGCAUGGGAAUGGCUAUUAAAAAGGUCCAUUCAUAACACCAGGACUGGGAUAAAACACGUUGUGCCUGCUGGCUGGAUGCUAGGAAAUACCUCCUGGGCUCUGGGGAGGGGGAACACUGCUGCAUGCAACCCCCUCAUUGCCACCACCCUCCCAAACACAAGCCCCCACCCCUCGUUAACCUUCACUUCUGACUUCUGUUUGCGCUGCUCAGCACCGGUUAAUACUGAGCUUAGAAGAAAACCCAAUAAGCAAAGCACUAAGCUUGGAGCUUGGCACAUCACGGCCCUCGGUGGCUCACUCUUGGCUGUGGUCCCCUGCCUCCCUGCUCACCUUUGGAGGGGAGGAUCACUCUGGUCACACCUCCAGCACAAAACAGAGGUUAAAUGAAAUGAAGCUCUCCCCUUAGCAGAGCACCUCUCGUGCACAAACUCGUUCACAACCCUGGGCAAAGGUUUCAGCCUCAUACUUCUUAUUUAUGCCCCUCGUAGUCCGUUCCUUCCUCCAGAUUAAAGAAACAGAAGUAAAAAUAAAGUAGAAAGAUCCCAGGGGAGAUCAACCUUUCCUUUCCCUGCUGCCUGCCCUUCAGAAAUAAAAAAUCUGCCUGCAGAACAUCUCCCAGGGACUGAAAUCUGUAUGACACACAGUGAGGGGGGUGAAGAGCCUGCUGUGGUGCUCUCCUCGCUCCUCCCAGCUAGAGACCCCAGUCCCCCAAAGGUCACCUCCCACCAGGGAGGGCUUUUCCAACCUUAAUGAUGACAGUCCUGCAGCAGGCCCUCUCCCAGCCCCCCAGCUGCAGGGUGCUCAGGCUGGGCAGGGGACACAACUUUAGGCUUAGCAGUCCCAUCAAGAAACAACUGGAUAUCAUUCUAUGAAAGCUCACUCCAGAGCUUUGGCUGGAGCAGGCUGCAGCUCAGCCUUGCAAAGCAAGGGUAAGACAUUACCAUUUUCUGGCUCCAG